rnacentral:lncRNA from 10 species
GGAAGAUCUAAGGAAAGAGGUUCCUGACUUGGCCUUGGAGAAAGAUUUCUGCAACCUUGGGAAGGUGUCAAUAUAUGUUAUUGACAUGCUGGAAAAGCAGCCAGAUAAAUAGGAACGACAUAUACACUUUUUCUGCAGUGUCAACAUCAUCUUCAUCAUUACUAUUACUACAAUCACCUUGAUUCAGAACCCAUCAGUCAAUGAAUGAACAACUGGAGCCUCACUAUUGGUGUGAAUAAUUUCUUUGAUAUCCACUUCUUCCAGCUUGCUGAUAGACUCUGAAGUAUCCUCAGCUCUUGGCCCAGUGAGUCUUCUGUGCAUGCUGCUGGGGGAAAUCAGCCAGAACUGCUCUGCUGGACAAGAUUCUCAGAAUAGAGGCUGCUAACAAGCCCAGAUGGCAGUUGCAGCCAUCUUGUGACUAGAAGAAGAGGAAGCUCCAUACUCAGGGGCUCCAGAACACUAGAGUCACAGUCCUGAGACACAUACCUGGAGGCUGCCCUGCGUGUGGACUUCGGUAUGUUUAAUAAUAAAUUUCUUAAUAUUUUAAGCCAGUUUUAACUGUGUGUCUUACACUUAAAGCCAAAUGUGCUCUAACUGUAAAAAGUAAGAUGGGGGAAUACUAAUUCUCAUUAUAAUCUUCUCCAACCAACUUUUAAAAAAUAAAUUCUACUGUAUAUAUUUGAGGUAUACAACACAAUGUUAUGAGAUAGUAAAACGAUUACUGUAGUAAAGCAAAUUAACAUAUUCAUCAUCUCACAUAGUUAUCUAUUUUUUAUGGCAAACACAGCUAAAAUCUACUCAUUUGGCAAAAAUCCUGAAUACAAUACAAUAUUAUUAACUAUAGUCCUCAUGCUUUAAAUUAGAUCUCUAAACUUGUUCAUCCUGCAUAUCUGCUACUUUAUAUCCUUUGAACUACAUCUUCCCAUUUUCUCCCAGCUUCCAUUGAUUUUCUUC